GGGAAUGUGACUAUUGCUAAUAGGGUGUCUGUUGUUUUGUCCUUUGUUGUCCUGGUUUAGGAAAGGAUAAAAUCUUCCGAACUGCCUGCCAGUCCUGCUUGUUGCAUUCAGCUCCCAGCUUCUGUGUCACAAAAACCAUCUCACAAGACUUCAGCUACUUAACUCAGAAGCUAAGAGUGUCUACCUGAUGCGGAGCAAGAACGAAAUGGCACUAUUGACUCCUGUCCAUCUCAAAAUUCAUCUUUUCUUAAACAACAUCAAGGAGAGUGAGAUGCUUCAGCUUUCUUCAGUUUGAAAGAUGUUGUUGGGCUGCAGAGUAAAAGCAUUAUCUAAGUCUGACACAAGUCUGUAGAACUCCCAGAGCUGGGAUGUGAUGGCUCAGACUUUCAGGCAUGCUUCUUGUUGCCAACUUGAUGUGAGCACUGAGAACUUUGGGAAAUCCAACCUAUCUCUGCCCCAGCGGAGAGCCUGUGGAGUACCACUGAAAAGCAAUCAUGGAAGCGAACAUAAAUGUGCCCAUCUCUUUGUACACUUGAACUCCUAGCAGUUGAGGGAGAAACUUUUCUAAAAACACCUAACCUUGCCUCUUCAAUGAGAAAGCUCCCUUACUUCAUCGGUCCUCUCAGCAAGCAUGAGUAAGGACAUCAUAAAGCUACCUCACAGGUCAACAAAAAUAAGUCAACCUUGUGGGGCUUCUUCAUGCACUUUAAUAAUAGUAAUGGAGGAAAACCAGUCUUGAACCGAUGUUCCUAUCACAGUGACAUCAAAGCUUUCAGGCCUGAACUAUUGUAAUGCAAGAUGAUCCCUCAAAUUCCUCCAAAACAGUUUGUUAAGCAGGGAGGUAGCUGAGUAGACUACAGAGCCCAUUAAUACCACAGAAGUACAAAUAUACUCCUUGCAGCUACAUGGCUGCAAGUGAACUCAGAUCUGGGCAAAACUGUCUUUACAGUCCUGCUGCCUGUGGCAGGAUAACUCUCACAAAGGAGAGUCAGGCACACCUGGGAGCUCACUGUCACUGAAGUAAGAGAAGUCAAUGUUUAAUACCUUUUUUGACUCAGAAAUGUUGCAGCACUUUUCCAACACUUCUAAAGGCUAGGGGAGGUAAGAACUCCACAUGAGCACUUGCUGAUUGGACUUAAACAAGGGAAGAACAGAGUGAAACAGCCUUCUGGCUGUUAUUAGGGCCACAGACUGUAAUGCUAAAGAAAUGAUAAUCUAUGAAUGGGAUAAUGUUGAGCAGGGCUUGCAGCAACAGAAUGAAAGACUCUUUCUAGAUCUACAUCCCCAUUAGAAAUCUUGAAUUAGAAAGCUCACAAGCUAGUGACAAGCACAUAGGCAAGACAUGACCAAAAAGAAUGACAGCUCAUAAGCAAUUUAUAUACAGCUGGAGCAAAAUGCCAGAUGUGUCAUUGAAAAAUGUUUGCUUAGGAUCUGAGGGAAAGAUUUAUACUGUCAAGGGAGCUUCUUUGCCAGGCAAAUCAAGCGUAAUGAAGUUUUAAUUAAUCAUCCUGCAGUAGGGUAGAAAAAAGGAGGCCCCAGGUCAC
rnacentral:lncRNA from 1 species